rnacentral:rRNA from 1 species
GAUGAACGCUGGCGGCGUGCCUAAUACAUGCAAGUCGAACGCAGCGGGGACGGGGGAGUACCACGUGGAAAACCUCCUAUACGACUGGGAUAACUUCGGGAAACCGGAGCUAAACGUGAUACUUAUAGGUGGAUGCGCGCUGCAUUAGCUAGUCGUUAAGGUAACGGCUUACCAAGGCAACGAUGCAUAGCCGAACUGGGAGGGUGAUCGGCCACACUGGAACUGGGACACGGUCCAGACUCCUACGGGAGGCAGCAGUAGGUAAUUUUCCGAAAUGGGCGAAAGCCGGACGGAGCAACGCGGGGUGAGUGAUGAAGGUCUUCGGAUCGUAAAACUCGGUAUUAGGGAAGCGGUACCUAAUCAGAAAGCCACGGCUAACUACGUGCCAGCAGCCGCGGUAAUAC